rnacentral:rRNA from 1 species
GAGUUUGAUCCUGGCUCAGGACGAACGCUGGCGGCGUGCUUAAUGAAUGCGAGUCGAGCGAGACCCGGUAGAUUGAAGCUUCGGCUGAUUGAAACCGGUGAGAGCGGCAAACGGGUGAGUAACACGUGGGUAACGUGCCCUUCAGUCGGGAAUAACAGCGGGAAACUGCUGCUAAUGCCCGAUAGUCUGAGGAGACCUCCUGGUUUCUUCAGUAAAGCCUUGGCGCUGAGGGAUCGGCCCGCGGCGGAUUAGCUUGUUGGUGAGGUAACGGCUCACCAAGGCGACGAUCCGUAACCGGUCUGAGAGGAUGGCCGGUCACACUGGGACUGAGACAUGGUCCAGACUCCUACGGGAGUUAGCAUCAGGGAAUCUUGCGCAAUGGGCGAAAGCCUGACGCAGCGACGCCGCGUGAGGGAUGAAGGCCUGCGGGUCGUAAACCUCUGUCAGAGGGGACGAACACAAUGACGGUACCCUCUGAGGAAGCCCCGGCUAAUUACGUGCCAGCAGCCGCGGUAAGACGUAAGGGGCUAGCGUUGUCCGGAAUUACUGGGCGUAAAGAGCACGUAGGCGGCCUAUCAAGCGGCGGGUGAAAUCCCGCGGCUCAACUGCGGAACUGCUUGCCGAACUGAUAGGCUCGAGCGCGGGAGAGGGCAGUGGAAUUCCUGGUGUAGCGGUGGAAUGCGUCAAUAUCANGAAGAACACCGGUGGCGAAGGCUGCUGCCUGGAACGUUGCU